ensembl:lncRNA
CUCGUUGCAAGGCGUUGCAAGGAGUUGCGAGGUGAAUCUUGCAACGGCUUGCAACGAGACGGUUUUAGAACGUCGCAGGGGCGGUGUGAACGGGUCGUUGCAAGCCGUUGCAAGGAGUUGCAAGGCGUUGCAAGGAGUCGCCAGAGAUUGAACAUGUCAAAUCGCAAGGUCCUGUUUUAGAACGCGGCGAUUUAACUAUUCCUCUUCAGCCAAUCACAGCACAGAACAACUUGUACGUCACGGCCUUACUCCGUCCCGGUACCGUACUGUCCACUCCAGCGUAAAAAGAUCCGAAGAUGGCAGACUUCUGGUCCGAGGAGAGGGAGGAGAAAUUAAUUCGGUUGCUGGAGGAUCAACCUGUCCUAUACGACGUUGGCAGCAAGGGGUACAGCAACAGGGACAGCAAGAGGAGAGCGUGUUGUGACAUUGCGGUGGCAACUGGUGUAUCCGAAAAAGAGGUGGGCAAGAAAAUCCACUCCCUCCGGACCCAGUACAACAGGUACAGCAAGGCACCGGCUCCGGGGAGGGCCGGUGGGAGAACUGGCAGGCAGGACUGGGUUCUCAGGAGGCUCUCUUUCCUGGAGCCAUAUAUCAGGAAGAGAGCUUCUUCGUCCAACGUGGACGAAAAGCCUGCAGAGUGGUGUUUGUGCUGCGUGGUAGUGCAGCCUGGGCAAGGGUUGGACCAUGUUCACCAGGGCCAUCCCGCUCGCUGGGAAGCUGGGUGUAGCCAUCACCACUGGUCACGUAGGACAUUG